rnacentral:rRNA from 1 species
UACGGAGGGUGCAAGCGUUAUCCGGAUUCACUGGGUUUAAAGGGAGCGUAGGCGGAACGAUAAGUCAGUGGUGAAAGCCCCGAGCUCAACUUGGGAAUUGCCAUUGAUACUGUUGUUCUUGAGUUCGGUUGAGGUAGGCGGAAUGUUGCAUGUAGCGGUGAAAUGCUUAGAUAUGCAACAGAACACGGAUGGCGAAGGCAGCUUACCAAGCCGAUACUGACGCUGAGGCUCGAAAGCGUGGGGAUCAAACAGG